rnacentral:rRNA from 1 species
UACGUAGGGGGCAAGCGUUGUCCGGAAUCAUUGGGCGUAAAGAGCGCGUAGGCGGCCCAGUAAGUCCGCUCUGAAAGUCAGGGGCUCAACCCCUGAAUGCGGGUGGAUACUGCUGGGCUAGAGUCCGGAAGAGGCGAGUGGAAUUCCUGGUGUAGCGGUGAAAUGCGCAGAUAUCAGGAGGAACACCAAUGGCGAAGGCAGCUCGCUGGGACGUGACUGACGCUGAGACGCGAAAGCGUGGGGAGCGAACAGG